rnacentral:rRNA from 1 species
AGUGGCGACCGGGUGAGUAACACGUGACUAACCUACCUUCGAGUGGGGGAUAACCUCGAGAAACCGAGGCUAAUACCGCAUAACAUCGCAAGAUCAAAGCAGCAAUGCGCUGGAAGAGGGGGUCGCGGCUGAUUAGCUAGUUGGCGGGGUAACGGCCCACCAAGGCGAAGAUCGGUAUCCGGCCUGAGAGGGCGCACGGACACACUGGAACUGAAACACGGUCCAGACUCCUACGGGAGGCAGCAGUGGGGAAUUUUGCGCAAUGGGGGAAACCCUGACGCAGCAACGCCGCGUGGAGGAUGAAGCCCCUUGGGGCGUAAACUCCUUUCGACCAAGACGAUAAUGACGGUACUGGUGGAAGAAGCACCGGCUAACUCUGUGCCAGCAGCCGCGGUAAUACAGAGGGUGCGAGCGUUGUUCGGAAUUAUUGGGCGUAAAGGGCGCGUAGGCGGUGCCACAAGUCACUUGUGAAAUCCCCGGGCUUAACUCGGGGCCUGCAGGCGA